rnacentral:lncRNA from 1 species
ACCUCAGAGGAAAAGUUAUGGGGAGGUACAAUUGGCUAACCUUUUGAAAAUGGGCACCAGGAAACCUGGCUAUGCAGGUCCAGAAUGUGUCUUUUUUUUUUUUAAUGGCCAACAUGACAAGCAGCAGUUGUGUAGGGAGGGAACUUGUUUGAAGUGAGCAAAUAGUAACAAAAUGCACCCAGCAGGUGCCACCGUCGGGCACAGUGUUAAUUGCAGCGUUAAUCUGAAAUGCAUGCGGGACUUCCUCUUUGCAGACGAUGCAGCCAUUGUUGCCCACUCUGCUGAAGACCUCCAACAACUCAUGAAUCGUUUCAGCAAGGCCUGCCAAGACUUUGGACUAACAAUCAGCAUGAAGAAAACACAAGUCAUGGGCCAGAGUGUGGACUCACCUCCCUCUAUUACCAUCUCCACACAAGAAUUGGAGGUUGUUCAUGACUUUGUGUACCUUGGCUCAACCAUCUCUGACACCCUCUCUCUAGAUGUCGAGCUGGAUAAACGCAUUGGGAAAGCAGCCACCAUGUUCUCUAGACUCACAAAGAGAGUAUGGCUCAAUAAGAAACUGACAACACAUACCAAGAUCCAGGUCUAUAGAGCCUGUGUCCUGAGCACACUCCUGUACUGCAGCGAGUCCUGGACACUUUGUGCCCGGCAGGAGAGGAAGCUGAACACCUUCCAUAUGCGUUGCCUACGACGGAUUUUUGGUAUCACCUGGCAGGACAGAGUUCCAAAUAGAGUAGUCCUAGAACGAGCUGGAAUUUGCAGCAUGCAUACAUUACUGAAACAGCGACGUCUACGCUGGCUUGGGCACGUUGUGAGAAUGGCUGAUGGUCGGAUUCCAAAGGAUCUCCUAUAUGGAGAAUUAGUGCAGGCAAAUCGCCCCAGAGGGAGACCACAGCUGCGAUACAAGGACAUCUGCAAGCGGGAUCUGAAGGCCUUAGGAAUAGACCUCAACAGAUGGGAAACUCUGACAUCUGAUCGUUCAGCCUGGAGGCAGGCAGUACAUCACGGCCUCUCCCAAUUUCAGGCCGAGGCAAAGAGGAAGUCACAAAGGAAGCAAAACCAGGGAGCUGGACAGGGGACAGAUUGGAUUUGUCUUCAGUGUGGAAGGGAUUGUCACUCUCGAAUUGGCCUCCUCAGCCACACUAGACACUGUUCCAAGUCCUCCAUACAGAGCACGCUACCAUAGUCUUUUGAGACUGAAGGAUGCCUACUACUACUAUUGCUUCUGAUGCUUUCCCCCCAUAUCCGGAACUCCUGCUGGCCUAUCUACAAGAAGAGUCAUGAAUAUCACACUAACAUUCUAGUCUAUGGCCACCUUGAAAUGGCAAAAAGGUGUAAAUUCAUGCACCCAUCAACUCUCUCCUCAGUCCACUGGAGUGCCAUUACUGCUGUCCUUCCA